rnacentral:rRNA from 1 species
CCUACGGGAGACUGCAGUGGGGAAUAUUGCACAAUGGGGGAAACCCUGAUGCAGCGACGCCGCGUGAGUGAAGAAGCAAUUCUUUAUGUAAAGCUCUAUCAGCAGGGAAGAAAAUGACGGUACCUGAGUAAGAAGCCCCGGCUAACUACGUGCCAGCAGCCGCGGUAAUACGUAGGGGGCAAGCGUUAUCCGGAUUUACUGGGUGUAAAGGGAGCGUAGACGGCAGUGCAAGUCUGGAGUGAAAGGCGGGGGCUCAACCCCCGGACUGCUCUGGAAACUGUACGGCUGGAGUGCAGGAGAGGUAAGUGGAAUUCCUAGUGUAGCGGUGAAAUGCGUAGAUAUUAGGAGGAACACCAGUGGCGAAGGCGGCUUACUGGACUGUAACUGACGUUGAGGCUCGAAAGCGUGGGGAGCAAACAGGAUUAGAUACCCCAGUAGUC